rnacentral:rRNA from 1 species
UACGUAGGGUGCAAGCGUUGUCCGGAAUUAUUGGGCGUAAAGAGCUCGUAGGCGGUCAGUCGCGUCUGCUGUGAAAACUCGGGGCUUAACUCCGGGCCUGCAGUGGGUACGGGCUGACUAGAGUGCGGUAGGGGAGACUGGAAUUCCUGGUGUAGCGGUGAAAUGCGCAGAUAUCAGGAGGAACACCGGUGGCGAAGGCGCUCUACUGGGCCAUAACUGACACUGAUGGACGAAAGCUAGGGGAGCGAAAGGG